GACGAACCGUCCAAACGUUAUUCGGAAUUACUAGGCUUAAAGGGUGCGUAGGCGGCUCUGCAAGUUGGGUGUGAAAUCCCUCGGCUCAACCGAGGAAUGGCGCCCAAAACUGUGGAGCUCGAGGGAGACAGAGGUGAGUGGAACUUGUGGUGGAGCGGUGAAAUGCGUUGAUAUCACAAGGAACACCGGUGGCGAAAGCGGCUCACUGGGUCUCUUCUGACGCUGAGGCACGAAAGCUGGGGGAGCGAACGGGAUUAGAUACCCCCGUAGUCCCUGA
rnacentral:rRNA from 1 species